rnacentral:pre_miRNA from 8 species
CCAUCGGGGCUGACCACUGGUGCCUGGAAAGAAGUUGCCCAUGUUCUUUUCGCUGAUAUGUGACGAAACAAACAUGGUGCACUUCUUUUCCGGCAUCAAAUCUCAGCUGCAGGAGCC